rnacentral:rRNA from 1 species
AGAGUUUGAUCCUGGCUCAGAUUGAACGCUGGCGGCAGGCUUAACACAUGCAAGUCGAGCGGAAACGGCAUAGGCAAUCCCUUCGGGGUGCGCUUAUGGACGUCGAGCGGCGGACGGGUGAGUAAUGCCUGGGAAUCUGCCUGGUAGUGGGGGAUAACUUGCCGAAAGGUAAGCUAAUACCGCGUACGCCCUACGGGGGAAAGCAGGGGAUCUUCGGACCUUGCGCUAUCAGAUGAGCCCAGGCCGGAUUAGCUAGUUGGUAGGGUAAAGGCCUACCAAGGCGACGAUCCGUAGCUGGUCUGAGAGGAUGAUCAGCCACACCGGGACUGAGACACGGCCCGGACUCCUACGGGAGGCAGCAGUGGGGAAUAUUGGACAAUGGGGGGAACCCUGAUCCAGCCAUGCCGCGUGUGUGAAGAAGGUCUUCGGAUUGUAAAGCACUUUAAGUUGGGAGGAAGAGCUCCGGGCUAAUACCCUGCGAGUUUUGACGUUACCAACAGAAUAAGCACCGGCUAACUUCGUGCCAGCAGCCGCGGUAAUACGAAGGGUGCGAGCGUUAAUCGGAAUUACUGGGCGUAAAGCGCGCGUAGGUGGUUUGUUAAGUUGGAAGUGAAAGCCCCGGGCUCAACCUGGGAAUUGCUUUCAAAACUGACGGGCUAGAGUACGGUAGAGGGUAGUGGAAUUUCCUGUGUAGCGGUGAAAUGCGUAGAUAUAGGAAGGAACAUCAGUGGCGAAGGCGACUGCCUGGACUGAUACUGACACUGAGGUGCGAAAGCGUGGGGAGCAAACAGGAUUAGAUACCCUGGUAGUCCACGCCGUAAACGAUGUCAACUAGUUGUUGGGGGGUCUUGUACCUUUAGUAACGCAGCUAACGCAUUAAGUUGACCGCCUGGGGAGUACGGCCGCAAAGGUUAAAACUCAAUGAAUUGACGG